rnacentral:rRNA from 1 species
AACGCUAGCUACAGGCUUAACACAUGCAAGUCGAGGGGAAACGACAUCGAAAGCUUGCUUUUGAUGGGCGUCGACCGGCGCACGGGUGAGUAACGCGUAUCCAACCUGCCCAUCACUUGGGAAUAACCUUGCGAAAGUAAGACUAAUACCCAAUGAUAUCCAUAGAAGACAUCUGAAAUGGAUUAAAGAUUUAUCGGUGAUGGAUGGGGAUGCGUCUGAUUAGCUUGUUGGCGGGGUAACGGCCCACCAAGGCGACGAUCAGUAGGGGUUCUGAGAGGAAGGUCCCCCACAUUGGAACUGAGACACGGUCCAAACUCCUACGGGAGGCAGCAGUGAGGAAUAUUGGUCAAUGGGCGAGAGCCUGAACCAGCCAAGUAGCGUGCAGGACGACGGCCCUAUGGGUUGUAAACUGCUUUUAUAAGGGAAUAAAGUGAGUCUCGCGAGGCUUUUUGCAUGUACCUUAUGAAUAAGGACCGGCUAAUUCCGUGCCAGCAGCCGCGGUAAUACGGAAGGUCCGGGCGUUAUCCGGAUUUAUUGGGUUUAAAGGGAGCGUAGGCCGGAGAUUAAGCGUGUUGUGAAAUGUAGUGGCUCAACCUCUGCACUGCAGCGCGAACUGGUCUUCUUGAGUACGCACAACGUGGGCGGAAUUCGUGGUGUAGCGGUGAAAUGCUUAGAUAUCACGAAGAACUCCGAUUG